GACGAACGCUGGCGGCGUGCUUAACACAUGCAAGUCGAGCGGUAAGGCCCUUUCGGGGGUACGACGAGCGGCGAACGGGUGAGUAACACGUGGGUGACCUGCCCUCAGCUCUGGGAUAAGCUGGGAAACCGGGUCUAAUACUGGAUAUGACUCCAUGACGCAUGUUGUGGGGUGGAAAGCCUUGUGCGGCUGAGGAUGGGCCCGCGGCCUAUCAGCUUGUUGGUGGGGUGAGGCCUACCAAGGCGACGACGGGUAGCCGGCCUGAGAGGGCGACCGGCCACACUGGGACUGAGACACGGCCCAGACUCCUACGGGAGGCAGCAGUGGGGAAGUCUUGCGCAAUGGGCGAAAGCCUGACGCAGCGACGCCGCGUGAGGGAUGACGGCCUCGGUUGUAA
rnacentral:rRNA from 1 species